rnacentral:rRNA from 1 species
GUGGGGAAUAUUGGACAAUGGGCGAAAGCCUGAUCCAGCAAUGCCGCGUGAGUGAUGAAGGCCUUAGGGUUGUAAAGCUCUUUUACCCGGGAUGAUAAUGACAGUACCGGGAGAAUAAGCUCCGGCUAACUCCGUGCCAGCAGCCGCGGUAAUACGGAGGGAGCUAGCGUUGUUCGGAAUUACUGGGCGUAAAGCGCACGUAGGCGGCUUUGUAAGUUAGAGGUGAAAGCCUGGAGCUUAACUCCAGAACUGCCUUUAAGACUGCAUCGCUUGAAUCCAGGAGAGGUGAGUGGAAUUCCGAGUGUAGAGGUGAAAUUCGUAGAUAUUCGGAAGAACACCAGUGGCGAAGGCGACUGACUGGACAAGUAUUGACGCUGAGGUGCGAAAGCGUGGGGAGCAAACAGGAUUAGAAACCCCUGGUAGUCC